rnacentral:rRNA from 1 species
CGGCGAGUGAACAGAGAUUAGCCCAACAUCGAAGCCUCUAUGCAUUUGUGUGGAAGGCAAUGUGAUGUAAAGGUGUUCGUUUUCGCAGACUGGCUUACUUGAAGUCCAUAUUUGACUGUGGCUUGUGUAUAAUUAUACUCCCAGAGAUGGUGAAAGGCCAGUUCAAGUUGGUAAUUCAGACCAGACUGUCUGCGUAUAUACGUUCACUGUUGAGUCGGAUUGCUUGAGAUUGCAGUCCAAAUAUGGUGGUAAACUCCAUCAAAGGCUAAAUACCUGUGUGAAUCCGAUAGUCAACAAGUACCGUGAGGGAAAGUUGAAAAGUACUCUGAAGAGAGAGUAAAUAGUGCGUGAAACUACAUGAAGGUUAAACGGAUAGAGUCCAACUGCGUGUUAUUGUUCAUUGCAUUAUUCAUUACUAUGUACUAAUUGUGCAGCGACAGCUUGUCGAUUGGCGUACCCAUUUGUGGGUAUUUGAACAAUUGGCUAUGUUUAAUGGAUGUUGUUGUGCAAGUGUGGGUAAUGUUUAUGACGAUAGCAGAAGCCAUAGUCGGUUAAAUCUAUCAGCACUAAGCUAACAGCGUUUGCAUGAGCGACUUUUUGUCGUUUAUGUGAUCGAUAGACAGUUGUUAUUUACAUAUGCUUGCAUGUGUUUAUGGCAAAAUGGGCUACGGCCUGUUGUGAGCUGAGUGCGCUGUGUGAUUAACCGGUGACAUAUGUUCUAUGUAAUUCAUAAGCUAGCAUAGAUUGCUAUGAGAGCUUGUGAAGUAACGUACGAGCUAUGGUUUAGCGGAAGA